UACCAGACUCCUACGGGAGGCAGCAGUGGGGAAUAUUGCACAAUGGGGGAAACCCUGAUGCAGCGACGCCGCGUGAGCGAAGAAGUACCUCGGUAUGUAAAGCUCUAUCAGCAGGGAAGAAAGUGACAGUACCUGACUAAGAAGCCCCGGCUAACUACGUGCCAGCAGCCGCGGUAAUACGUAGGGGGCAAGCGUUAUCCGGAUUCACUGGGCGUAAAGGGAGCGCAGGCGGCACGGCAAGUCUGAUGUGAAAGCCCGGGGCUCAACCCCGGGACUGCAUUGGAAACUGCCGGGCUGGAGUGUCGGAGGGGUAAGCGGAAUUCCUAGUGUAGCGGUGAAAUGCGUAGAUAUCAGGAGGAACACCGGCGGCGAAGGCGGCCUGCUGGACCGCGACUGACGUUGAGGCUCGAAAGCGUGGGGAGCGAACAGGAUUAGAUACCCUAGUAACG
rnacentral:rRNA from 1 species